CAGUAGCCGCGGGAAUACGUAGGGUGCAAGCGUUAAUCGGAAUUACUGGGCGUAAAGCGUGCGCAGGCGGUUAUAUAAGACAGAUGUGAAAUCCCCGGGCUCAACCUGGGAACUGCAUUUGUGACUGUAUAGCUAAAGUACGGCAGAGGGGGAUGGAAUUCCGCGUGUAGCAGUGAAAUGCGUAGAUAUGCGGAGGAACACCGAUGGCGAAGGCAAUCCCCUGGGCCUGUACUGACGCUCAUGCACGAAAGCGUGGGGAGCAAACAGGAUUAGAUACCCCAGUAGUCCCUGUCUCUUAUAC
rnacentral:rRNA from 1 species